rnacentral:rRNA from 1 species
AUUGAACGCUGGCGGCAUGCCUUACACAUGCAAGUCGAACGGCAGCGGACCUUCGGGUGCCGGCGAGUGGCGAACGGGUGAGUAAUAUAUCGGAACGUACCUUUCAGUGGGGGAUAACGUAGCGAAAGUUACGCUAAUACCGCAUAUUCUGUGAGCAGGAAAGCAGGGGAUCGCAAGACCUUGCGCUGAUUGAGCGGCCGAUAUCAGAUUAGCUAGUUGGUGAGGUAAAGGCUCACCAAGGCGACGAUCUGUAGCGGGUCUGAGAGGAUGAUCCGCCACACUGGAACUGAGACACGGUCCAGACUCCUACGGGAGGCAGCAGUGGGGAAUUUUGGACAAUGGGCGCAAGCCUGAUCCAGCCAUGCCGCGUGAGUGAAGAAGGCCUUCGGUUGU